UCAGUGUGUUGACACUGAAAGUAGGUGGUUCUCAUUAAUACAUCAGCCUCAUUAGAGCCACAUAUCACAGUGUGUUGACACUGAAAGUAGGUGGUUCUCAUGUAAUACAUCAGCCUCAUAUCACAGUGUGUUGACACUGAAAGUAGGUGGUUCUCAUGUAAUACAUCAGCCUCAUUAGAGCCUCAUAUCACAGUGUGUUGACACUGAAAGUAGGUGGUUCUCAUGUAAUACAUCAGCCUCAUUAGAGCCUCAUAUCACAGUGUGUUGACACUGAAAGUAGGUGGUUCUCAUGUAAUACAUCAGCCUCAUUAGAGCCUCAUAUCACAGUGUGUUGACACUGAAAGUAGGUGGUUCUCAUGUAAUACAUCAGCCUCAUUAGAGCCACAUAUCACAGUGUGUUGACACUGAAAGUAGGUGGUUCUCAUGUAAUACAUCAGCCUCAUAUCACAGUGUGUUGACACUGAAAGUAGGUGGUUCUCAUGUAAUACAUCAGCCUCAUUAGAGCCACAUAUCACAGUGUGUUGACACUGAAAGUAGGUGGUUCUCAUGUAAUACAUCAGCCUCAUAUCACAG